UUUACAUUGUUUUCUUUUUUCCUGGCAGUAUGAAAAUGGUGAUAAUGUUAUUUACCAAUGCAUGUAUUUUCUGUAAAAAUUCUGUAUGUACAAAUCUCCAAGAACUGCUGGAGAUUGGUCCACCAGAGGAAGACAGCUGUGGUAAACCUCCCCAGAAGGAUAUCAAGCCCAUGGAAGUGGAUCUACCCCAAGACUAAGAGGAGACCAUGGACCCAUAUAUGGUGCAACAAUUGCAGUGGGACACCACGCUCUCAGGCCUUGUCAGAGCAUCUCUCCAAAAGAUGCCACACAGCCUGGCAAUGAACCCAGCU
ensembl:lncRNA